rnacentral:rRNA from 1 species
GUGAGGAAUAUUGGUCAAUGGGCGAGAGCCUGAACCAGCCAAGUAGCGUGCAGGAUGACGGCCCUAUGGGUUGUAAACUGCUUUUACACGGGGAUAAAGUGUGCGACGUGUCGUUCAUUGCAGGUACCGUGCGAAUAAGGACCGGCUAAUUCCGUGCCAGCAGCCGCGGUAAUACGGAAGGUCCGGGCGUUAUCCGGAUUUUUUGGGGUUAAAGGGAGCGUAGGCCGUCUGUUAAGCGUGUUGUGAAAUGUAGAUGCUCAACAUCUGAAUUGCAGCGCGAGCUGACCGACUUGAGUGCGAAGGGAGUAGGCGGAAUUCGGGGUGUAGCGGUGAAAUGCUUAGAUAUCACGAAGAACUCCGAUUGCGAAGGCAGCUUACUGUAGCGCCACUGACGCUGAAGCUCGAAAGUGCGGGUAUCGAACAGGAUUAGAUACCCCAGUAGUCC